UACGAAGGGGACUAGCGUUGUUCGGAUUUACUGGGCGUAAAGCGCGCGUAGGCGGAUCGCUAAGUCAGGGGUGAAAUCCCAGGGCUCAACCCUGGAACUGCCUUUGAUACUGACGAUCUGGAGAUCGGGAGAGGUUGGUGGAAUUCCGAGUGUAGAGGUGAAAUUCGUAGAUAUUCGGAGGAACACCAGAAGCGAAGGCGGCCAACUGGCCCGAUACGUGACGCUGAGGCGCGAAAGCGUGGGGAGCAAACAGG
rnacentral:rRNA from 1 species